AGACCCGAAACCCGGUGAUCUAGCCAUGGGCAGGUUGAAGGUUGGGUAACACUAACUGGAGGACCGAACCGACUAAUGUUGAAAAAUUAGCGGAUGACCUGUGGCUGGGGGUGAAAGGCCAAUCAAACCGGGAGAUAGCUGGUUCUCCCCGAAAGCUAUUUAGGUAGCGCCUCGUGAAUUCAUCUCCGGGGGUAGAGCACUGUUUCGGCUAGGGGGCCAUCCCGGCUUACCAACCCGAUGCAAACUGCGAAUACCGGAGAAUGUUAUCACGGGAGACACACGGCGGGUGCUAACGUCCGUCGUGAAGAGGGAAACAACCCAGACCGCCAGCUAAGGUCCCAAAGUCAUGGUUAAGUGGGAAACGAUGUGGGAAGGCCCAGACAGCCAGGAUGUUGGCUUAGAAGCAGCCAUCAUUUAAAGAAAGCGUAAUAGCUCACUGGUCGAGUCGGCCUGCGCGGAAGAUGUAACGGGGCUAAACCAUGCACCGAAGCUGCGGCAGCGAACGUAUCACUUAAAGCGAUUCAGCGGGUUACGAUUGACGGAGCGAAGCGACGUCAAAGCGUAUACAAAGUCGAGUCGGUUUAAGGAUACGUUCGUUGGGUAGGGGAGCGUUCUGUAAGCCUGUGAAGGUGGCCUGUGAGGGUUGCUGGAGGUAUCAGAAGUGCGAAUGCUGACAUAAGUAACGAUAAAGCGGGUGAAAAGCCCGCUCGCCGGAAGACCAAGGGUUCCUGUCCAACGUUAAUCGGGGCAGGGUGAGUCGACCCCUAAGGCGAGGCCGAAAGGCGUAGUCGAUGGGAAACAGGUUAAUAUUCCUGUACUUGGUGUUACUGCGAAGGGGGGACGGAGAAGGCUAUGUUGGCCGGGCGACGGUUGUCCCGGUUUAAGCGUGUAGGCUGGUUUUCCAGGCAAAUCCGGAAAAUCAAGGCUGAGGCGUGAUGACGAGGCACUACGGUGCUGAAGCAACAAAUGCCCUGCUUCCAGGAAAAGCCUCUAAGCAUCAGGUAACAUCAAAUCGUACCCCAAACCGACACAGGUGGUCAGGUAGAGAAUACCAAGGCGCUUGAGAGAACUCGGGUGAAGGAACUAGGCAAAAUGGUGCCGUAACUUCGGGAGAAGGCACGCUGACACGUAGGUGAAGUGAUUUACUCACGGAGCUGAAGUCAGUCGAAGAUACCAGCUGGCUGCAACUGUUUAUUAAAAACACAGCACUGUGCAAACACGAAAGUGGACGUAUACGGUGUGACGCCUGCCCGGUGCCGGAAGGUUAAUUGAUGGGGUCAGCGCAAGCGAAGCUCCUGAUCGAAGCCCCGGUAAACGGCGGCCGUAACUAUAACGGUCCUAAGGUAGCGAAAUUCCUUGUCGGGUAAGUUCCGACCUGCACGAAUGGCGUAAUGAUGGCCAGGCUGUCUCCACCCGAGACUCAGUGAAAUUGAACUCGCUGUGAAGAUGCAGUGUACCCGCGGCAAGACGGAAAGACCCCGUGAACCUUUACUAUAGCUUGACACUGAACAUUGAGCCUUGAUGUGUAG
rnacentral:rRNA from 2 species